rnacentral:rRNA from 1 species
UACGUAGGGUGCGAGCGUUAAUCGGAAUUACUGGGCGUAAAGCGUGCGUAGGUGGUUCGUUGUGUCUGUGGUGAAAGCCCCGGGCUUAACCUGGGAAUGGCCAUGGAAACUGGCGAGCUGGAGUCUGGCAGAGGGGGGUGGAAUUCCGCGUGUAGCAGUGAAAUGCGUAGAGAUGCGGAGGAACACCGAUGGCGAAGGCAGCUCGCUGGGACGUUACUGACGCUGAGACGCGAAAGCGUGGGGAGCAAACAGG